AAACAAAUGCAGGUUUAAAUGCAGCUCGCUUUCUCUUCUAGGCUUGUCAUUUAGGGCUUGCUGUUCUGCUUUAAGCAAAACCUGUACCUAUGUAACCCCUAUGGCUUAAUUAGACCUGUUACUUUAAGGAGGUUCAAUGUUUUCAAGCUCUUGUGUGCAGAUGGGUGGGGAGGAACGGUGGCCUUUGGAAGCCAUUUUGACUAAGAGCUGCAAGAAAGGGAUUCAGGACAGGCCUGGCCUAUCGAGUUAUUUCAAGGGACACCUGGUAUAAUAAACCCACCUUUUCCUGCUGGCUUCUGGUGGCAGAUGGGUUACGGUCUUGUGUUCUUCAUCCCAUCUGCUACCCACUGUCCCCUACAUCCUCUGCUGGACCCAACCACUUUGCCUGUGGUCCCUUUACUUGGUACAGUACUUGCAUCUCCUUCCACAACUCUUUUCACUAUCUUUUACCUGCUAUGCAAUUUCUGCCUUCACUAUAGGCAUCAGGACAAACGUCUCUCCUGUCUGACUGAUGGACUAGCCCUAUAAUAAAUAAGUCACCCGUGGUAAUUGCUGGGGUGUUCUAACAUUAUCCGCAAACCUGUGGAGGGGUUGGAAGUUUUU
rnacentral:lncRNA from 1 species